rnacentral:rRNA from 1 species
UUAGUUGGCGGGGUAAUGGCCCACCAAGACGAUGAUCGGUAUCCGGCCUGAGAGGGCGCACGGACACACUGGAACUGAAACACGGUCCAGACUCCUACGGGAGGCAGCAGUGGGGAAUUUUGCGCAAUGGGGGAAACCCUGACGCAGCAACGCCGUGUGGAGGAUGAAAUAUCUUGGUAUGUAAACUCCUUUCGAUGGGGAAGAUUAUGACGGUACCCAUAGAAGAAGCCCCGGCUAACUUCGUGCCAGCAGCCGCGGUAAUACGAGGGGGGCAAGCGUUGUUCGGAUUUAUUGGGCGUAAAGCGCACGCAGGCGGUCGUGUCAGUUUGGGGUUACAGCUCCCGGCUCAACCGGGAGAGCGCCUCGAAGACGGCAGGACUUGAGGGCCAGAGAGGGACACAGAAUUCCGGGUGGAGUGGUGAAAUGCGUAGAUAUCCGGAGGAAUACCAAAGGCGAAGGCAGUGUCCUGGCUGGUACCUGACGCUGAGGUGCGAAAGCUAGGGGAGCGAACGGGAUUAGAUACCCCGGUAGUCCUAGCCGUAAACGAUGACCACUAGGUGUGCGGGGUAUCGACCCCCUGCGUGCCGGAGCUAACGCACUAAGUGGUCCGCCUGGGGAGUACGGUCGCAAGAUUAAAACUCAAAGGAAUUGACG